UACGUAGGGACCAAGCGUUGUUCGGAUUUACUGGGCGUAAAGGGCGCGUAGGCGGCAUGACAAGUCACUUGUGAAAUCUCCGGGCUUAACUCGGAAAGGUCAACUGAUACUGUGCGACUAGAGUGCGGAAGGGGCAACUGGAAUUCUCGGUGUAGCGGUGAAAUGCGUAGAUAUCGAGAGGAACACCUGCGGCGAAGGCGGGUUGCUGGGCCGACACUGACGCUGAUGCGCGAAAGCCAGGGGAGCGAACGGG
rnacentral:rRNA from 1 species